rnacentral:rRNA from 1 species
AACAAACGCUGGCGGCGUGCCUAACACAUGCAAGUCGUACGAGAAAGUCGGCUUCGGCCGAUGAGUACAGUGGCGCACGGGUGAGUAGCGCGUGGGUAAUCUGCCCCCCGGUCAGGAAUAACCCGCCGAAAGGCGGGCUAAUACCCGAUAACACUGACGCUCCGCGGAGCGUCUUUCAAAGAAGGCCUCUGUUUACAAGCUUUCGCCGGAGGAUGAGCCCGCGUACCAUUAGCUAGUUGGCAGGGUAAUGGCCUACCAAGGCUACGAUGGUUAGCUGGUCUGAGAGGAUGGCCAGCCACACUGGAACUGAGACACGGUCCAGACUCCUACGGGAGGCAGCAGUGAGGAAUCUUGCGCAAUGGGGGAAACCCUGACGCAGCAACGCCGCGUGAGUGAGGAAGGCCUUGGGUCGUAAGCUCUGUCAGAUGGGAAGAAAUGGAUGGGGGCUAAUAUCGCCCAUCCUUGACGGUACCAUCAGAGAAGCACCGGCUAACUCCGUCG